GACGAACGCUGGCGGCGUGCUUAAUACAUGCAAGUCGAGCGAACAGACGCGGCUUUUGUGGGUUUGACGUUAGCGGCGGACGGGAGUGACACAUGAGUAUCAUGCACUUAUAUUUCUGGUAACAUCAGGGGAAUCGGGCGCAAAUACGGUAGAAUAUACUGCUCCGUAGGGGUCAUUAGAGAAUGACGGCUUUGGUGUAUCUACUAGAGGGUUCCGCGCUGCAUUAGCUGGUUGGUAGGCUAACGGCUUACCACGGCAACGAUGCGUAGCCGACCUGAGAGGGUGGUAGGCCACACUGGAACUGAGCCGCGGUCCAGACUCCUACGAGAGGCAGCAGUAGGGAAUCUGCCGCAGUGGGCGAGAGCCUGACGGAGCAGCGCCGCGUGAGUGAUGAAGGUCUUCGGAUCGUAAAACUCUGUUAUUGGGGAAGAACAAAUGUGUAAGUAACUGUGCACGUCUUGACGGUACCUAAUCAGGAAGCCACGGCUAACUACGUG
rnacentral:rRNA from 1 species